AUUUAAUUGUUGCUCUGAAAGCUUCUUUAGUGAAAACCGGCUGGUGUUCUGCUUUGAAACAAACUGCUGUUGAGGUCUGUGUUUUUAGGUUUAACCCCACAGUUUCUGAAUGAACUGAUAGUUGUUUUUUUCCUGAUCAAUGUGGACGUUAUAAUUGAUGGUAACAUUUACUGAUCAUAUAAUCAGCAUGACAAUAUAACAGUAGAACAUUCUGACCACCUGACUAAUACUGUGUUGGUCCCUUUAUGCUGCUAAAACUCCUCUGACCCAGUGGUUCAUCAGAACCUCUGGGGAUGUCCUGUGGAUUCUGUGGAUCCUGUGGGUUGCAGGGUGGGUCCUACCUAGACCAGGCUGAUCCUGGACCAUCCCACAGAUGCUCCAUCAGAUCUGGAUGUGGGGAGUGUGGAACCCAGAUGUUCAGAGGGAGAUGAUGCCACAUCUGGUCCAGCUGAUGGAAGGUCUUGAAGUUCUCUGACUGGCCUGGACUGAAGAUGGUCGUCUCUCUGGAUUUAAGGUUCAGAUGCUCAGUAACAAACUCCACCAAUGAGCCAGCAGGGAAGCUUUAGGUUUAUUAAAUGUUGCUGUGAAGGUUUCGCUGUUUUUCUUUGUGAAUACAAUGAGCUCCAACUGAAACUUGAAUUAGAACUUAGAAGUAAAUCCUUCCACCUGAAAGCAUUUAGUUGCAUUAAUAACCUCAUAACAUUCUAAUUUUUAUUCCAGUCUUGGUUGGAAAUAGAAUCUCUGUAUUGAUUCAGGUAAAAACUGAACUUCACAGCAUGUUGGAGCAAAACAACCAGAUAAAAACUGUGAUGGUGUUGGAUUGUCAGACCGUAAUGUUGCAGCUCUAAGCAGCUUUUCUAUCUCAGUUCAUUCUGACAUUCAGCUAUGAAUCAACACAGCAGAUGGUGAUCCAUGCUGUGGAAGUCUCACAUCUCCUGAUUUAAUGGAGCUGCUUUGCACUUUUUACACUGUUUAUUCACCAACACUUUAUUUAAUAAAAGUCCCAUCUAGUUUUUAUGAGGAAUGUGAUGUUUUAAUUUCUCUGUGAAAAACUGCAGUCUAAUGGAACAGCUAGAAUUGUAACAUCUGUCCUGAUAUUGAUCAUGAAGUAUUGAUCAGAAUACUUAUGGUUAGCAGUCAUCCCUGAAGUUUUACAUUAAAAUCUUUACUUGUGUGGUGAACUUUGGUAAGAAGCAGAAACUUUAGCGUUGCCAUGGAUACAUGAGUGUUAAAUUCUGUCCAUGUUUCCAUUUUGGGAAAUUCAGUCCAGCAGAUGAGUUUGUUUUUACUGCCAGCUACCAUUCAGUCUGAGAUAUUAAGAAUAAAUAAAGGUGCAUAAUGUGGAAAUGAACAGAUUUUAUUUUUUUUUAUUCCUACAGCAGCUGCAGGUAAAGUUUCAGAAUGUGGAGGAAUUUAGUCUCACAAUCACAGACAAUAAAUAUUAUCUGAAAGUCGGGUUAUUGUUGUUUAUCAGCACAAUACAAAAAGAUUCAUGUUAGAAAUAUUCCAGUUAAGACUCUAGAAUAUCAGGAUUUAUGUAAAUUUACCUCAAUAAUAUGAAUGUUCAGGUUAAGAUUGUGCAGUGAUAUUUAUUAUGUAAGUUUAACUGAUUAAAGUUUAUGACUCUGCACUACAAUAUUAUUUAUUAUUUACAUUUACAUCAUUAUUAUAAUAUUUAGGGUCAGACCCGACAGUAUUGAGAUUAAGAAAUCAAAUAUUCUAUAAAAUGUACAUACACUGAACUCAUUUGGAUAUAUUUAAGUGAGACUCUACAAUAUUAUUUGACACAAAUCUAUCUAAAUCAAAAUUUUAAUCAUUUUUACUCCAAACAUUUACUGGACUGAUUUAAAUAUUCAAAUCACUCCUUUCUAAUCCUUUGCUGUACGUUCAAACCUGAGGCCUUAAAUAGAAACACACAAGUAUCUGAUUGAAGGAACUUCUGCAGAGUCCUGGUUCCACAACAUGAUGAUAGAAUUAUAGACUAACUUUUAACAAAAGCUGCCUGAGAGUUUACAGGUUUUUAUGUUGGAUUUCUUCAGUAAUUUAAUGAGAGUUAUCAGCAAAAAUCAAGUGUUCAUUUGAUGAACUUCAUUUCCUAAAACAUCCAGAAUUGGAGCUCAUAUCUUUGGCAGCUGUAAAGUUUCUGCUCCUUCAAAGUUCACAACACAAUGAAUGAAUUCCUAAAACACUCUCAAUGCUGGAGAGCGUUUGAUGCUGAAGCAGUGACCAGUUUUUCUGUUUCUUCUCUGGAGAUGCACAAUGAGGGACGUCUGCAGAGACUGAGAAAGAGUCUCACCACAUCCUGACAUGAGGAAAAAGACUUUAUUGAAGACUACAAUGAGAAAAACUAUCAGACAGCAGACGGCUGCAUUCAAGUCUGUAGCUGCUGAAUUCAUGGAUGAAUCAUCUGGCACUAGAGAGGAAGACCAUCAAACAUCCACAUCAGCUGAUGGAGGUCCAAGAGUCUCACCCAACAAACAACCUACAGAGUGAAGACCUCCAAUCUGAUUGGACGGCCUCCUAUUCAGCCACAUGCUACAGGAGGAGUCCUACGAGGACGAGCCGGUCCACCUGAUGGUGGCCAGUCGCUGCGGUUCAAAGCCAACACCGACUACAUGGACUUCUACUGGACCACAUGGAGGCCUUCAAACCGGACCAACAAGUUCAGCGACUCCCCGACUCGUGGGUCUGAGGACACCGCCGAGCCUCGGUCCAGCCGGCCUCUUGUCUGUGGGUGUUUGAGUGCUGAGAGGUUUGUGGAUCCAUGUGAAAGUUCUGUGUUGAAACAGCAGCUUUGGACUCAGUAACACCGGGAAAAACCAAGAGCUCCUUUAUUUGUGACUUCCACUAAAAAAACUGAUGAAAAUAAGUUUGCCAGGGUUCUGACUGAUAACAGAUUAUUAAAUGAUGAAAAUAAUACUUUAAAUAUUCCUUUAAACAAUCCAUUUAGGUCUACAUUUCCUUUACACUGACUUCUUGGUAAAUGUACAAGUAUUUUGGGUGGAAUAUACCAUUAAGCCCAAUGUUCAAGGGUUCUUCUGGGAAAAAACCAUUAAACCAACCUUUUAGGUAAAUGUUCCAGGAUGUUGGGUAGAAUAUACCAUCAGAUCAACCUUUUAGGUCUACAUUGGAAGAUUUUAGAGUAGAAUAUUACUCCAAACCAUCCUUUAGGGCCACAGUUAAGGUGGAAUACUCCUUUACACCAAGAUUUUUUGGUCUACAUUGAAGGAUUUUAGGUGGAAUAUUCCUUUGAACGAACUUUUUAAAUAUAUGUUCAAGGAUGUUGGGUGGAAUAUACAAUCAGACCAA